GUAGGUUACGUACCCUCAGGUCGGGGAUAGCCACGGGAAACUGUGGGUAAUACCCGAUAACGUCGAGAGACCAAAGGUGUGAUUCCACCUGGGGAGCGGCCUGCGUAGUAUUAGCUUGUUGGUGAGGUAAUGGCUCACCAAGGCGAAGAUGCUUAGGGGGUGUGAGAGCAUGGCCCCCACCACUGGGACUGAGAUACUGCCCAGACACCUACGGGUGGCUGCAGUCGAGAAUCUUCGGCAAUGGGCGCAAGCCUGACCGAGCGACGCCGCGUGUGGGAUGAAGGCCCUUGGGUUGUAAACCACUGUCAGAGGGGAUGAAAUGCCAGAGAGCUAUCUCUUUGGUUUGACAUAGCCUCAGAGGAAGCACGGGCUAAGUUCGUGCCAGCAGCCGCGGUAAUACGAACUGUGCAAACGUUAUUCGGAAUCACUGGGCUUAAAGGGUGCGUAGGCGGCUUGUUAAGUAGGGUGUGAAAUCCCCCGGCUCAACCGGGGAAUUGCGCCCUAAACUGGCGAGCUG
rnacentral:rRNA from 1 species